UUUUUUAGAAAAUCAGCAUCGGCUUCAUUUCCCAAGACCAGAGGUUACCAGUUUGGAAGUAACCACUGCGGUAGACUAGAAAACCCAGGAGUAAACCUGAAGGCUGAACAGAUGAAGGAGUCUCAUAGGGUGUAUCAGUAAAAUCCAGGUCUGUGUAAUCAGAGAGAAAGACGUCAGUAGUGAUGUUCACUACUUCAGUUGAGACUUGGGGCUGCUGCAUAUCAUACUGAUGUCUUUGGGGUCUUUGAAGUUUUUGAGCCAUCCCAUGAGCGGGCAGAUGCUGGGGCUGCAGUCCCAGGAGUUCCCUGCCAGACU